UACGGGGGGGGUAAGCGUUGUUCGGAAUUACUGGGCGUAAAGCGCACGUAGGCGGCUUUGUAAGUUAGAGGUGAAAGCCCGGAGCUCAACUCCAGAACUGCCUUUGAUACUGAAGAUCUUGAGUUCGGGAGAGGUGAGUGGAACUGCGAGUGUAGAGGUGAAAUUCGUAGAUAUUCGCAAGAACACCAGUGGCGAAGGCGGACUCGACUGGCCCGAGUACCUGACGCUGAGGCACGAAAGCGUGGGGAAGCAAACAGGG
rnacentral:rRNA from 1 species